UGAUCAUUAAAUAAUGACAUACAAACCCAAACCACAUUGUGUUGGACAGUCUUUCUGCAGCCAGACAGUUAUAUCCAUGCAAUGCAGUGACUGCGACAUUGAUUAUGUUACAAGUUAAGAAACAGCUAUUUGAUUAAUUUCUGCUGAGGUCUACUGGGUAAUUUGCUGUGUUUGCUUUACAACAAACACCAUGGUAGCUGCUGUGUGUUGACUUCAGUGAAGCAGUUCUUUUUCAGGAAAUCGUGAGGAAGCUGGGAAAUGCAAGAUCUCUGCAGCAUUACAGGAGAUAUUUCAUGGCUUGCUGCAAGUUUGCUGAGGUGCAUGAAUUGGAUAAAUGAAGUUGAAAAUCUACUGUUAAGACCCUCAAAUUAAAAUUGGGAAACAUCUACGGAGAAAUUUUUCGUUGUGAGUGUGAAGAAGCAGUGGCACAAGCUGCGCAUAGCUGUGGAUGCCCCAUCCCUGGAGGCAUUCAAGUCUAGGCUGGAUGAGGCCCUGGGCAGCUGAGCUGGUGUUUGAUCUAGCAGUUGGACCCCGCCCUUGGCAAGUGCAAGAAUAACCCUCCUUCACCAGAGCCCCACACCUGAGUCCUCGGCAAGACUUUUUCACAAAUCUGACUGGACUUCAGUGUUUCUUAGCCUGUAAAAACUUAGAAAAUGCAAAAAUUGAGACUUCUAUAUUCCAUUUUAGUUGAAAAUAAAUAAAAGCUGCUAUGUAUUACUUUCAUGCAUUCUUUACAUUGUUAUUUUCUGUUCAUAUGGUGUAUUCAG